rnacentral:rRNA from 1 species
AACGAACGCUGGCGGCAGGCCUAACACAUGCAAGUCGAACGCUCCGCAAGGGGAGUGGCGCACGGGCGAGUAACACGUGGGAACCUACCUUCUGGUACGGAACAACCAAGGGAAACUUUGGCUAAGACCGUAUACGACCUCCGGGUGAAAGAUUGAUCGCCGGAAGAGGGGCCCGCGUCCGAUUAGGUAGUUGGUGAGGUAACGGCUCACCAAGCCUUCGAUCGGUAGCUGGUCUGAGAGGAUGACCAGCCACACUGGGACUGAGACACGGCCCAGACUCCUACGGGAGGCAGCAGUGGGGAAUAUUGGACAAUGGGCGCAAGCCUGAUCCAGCCAUGCCGCGUGAGUGAUGAAGGCCUUCGGUU